rnacentral:rRNA from 1 species
AUUGAACGCUGGCGGCAGGCCUAACACAUGCAAGUCGAGCGGAUGAAGGGAGCUUGCUCCUGGAUUCAGCGGCGGACGGGUGAGUAAUGCCUAGGAAUCUGCCUGGUAGUGGGGGAUAACGUCCGGAAACGGGCGCUAAUACCGCAUACGUCCUGAGGGAGAAAGUGGGGGAUCUUCGGACCUCACGCUAUCAGAUGAGCCUAGGUCGGAUUAGCUAGUUGGUGGGGUAAAGGCCUACCAAGGCGACGAUCCGUAACUGGUCUGAGAGGAUGAUCAGUCACACUGGAGCUGGGACACGGUCCAGACUCCUACGGGAGGCAGCAGUGGGGAAUAUUGGACAAUGGGCGAAAGCCUGAUCCAGCCAUGCCGCGUGUGUGAAGAAGGUCUUCGGAUUGUAAAGCACUUUAAGUUGGGAGGAAGGGCAGUAAGUUAAUACCUUGCUGUUUUGACGUUACCAACAGAAUAAGCACCGGCUAACUUCGUG